GUUUUGUCUGGGGCUCGUCCUGCUACAUUUCUUGGUUCCCUGAACAGGAAGCGAGGUAACUGACGGACGGCCAAGGCAGCCCCUUGGGUGGCUUAGGCCUGCCCUGUGGAGCAUCCCUGCGGUGGACUCUGGCCAGCCUGAGUGACGCGAUCCAAAGAGCGCUCCCGGGUAGGAAAUUCCCCGGGUGGAACGCCUCGCCAGAGCAGCACGUAGCAGGCCCCCGAGGAGGAUUAACACACUGGCUGAACACUGGGAAGGAACUGGCACUUGGAGUCCGGACAUCUGAAACUUGCAACCCACUCUCUGUGCUAUGACUUCAUUACUCUUUCCCAGCCCAGCCCUGGGCAAGCCCCUUACGAAGUCUCAGGCUACCUGGAUGACCACCCUUUCUUAUGAUGCUGCAAGGAGGGCAGGCUACAGCUAGAGAGUUGACUCCUCUAUUUGAGAUUGACAGGCCUCGGAAGUCAAAAUAAGUGGUUUCCUAGACCGGGUCGAGAGCAAGUCUCUAUUGGUCCCAACUGAGUUUUUUCAGCUGGUUUUUCAACCAAACAGCACCUCAUCUCCCAGUGAGGGGAAGGGAAGGCUGGGCUGAGAGCAGCAAGGCUGCUCAUCUCACCUCUCCCCACCCAGCCAUGCCAGCCGCCUCACCUGGUGGGGAGAGGUGGGCCUCACCUGGGUCCCCUGGCAGUGCUCUGUGAAGGGUCUUGACAUUGCACUGUAAUAAUAAAGGUGUGUGUGAAGUAUC
rnacentral:lncRNA from 1 species